CAGUCGCCACGGUAAUACGAAGGGGGCUAGCGUUGUUCGGAUUUACUGGGCGUAAAGCGCACGUAGGCGGAUCGAUCAGUCAGGGGUGAAAUCCCAGAGCUCAACUCUGGAACUGCCUUUGAUACUGUCGAUCUGGAGUAUGGAAGAGGUGAGUGGAAUUCCGAGUGUAGAGGUGAAAUUCGUAGAUAUUCGGAGGAACACCAGUGGCGAAGGCGGCUCACUGGUCCAUUACUGACGCUGAGGUGCGAAAGCGUGGGGAGCAAACAGGAUUAGAUACCCCGGUAGUCCCUGUCUCUUAUAC
rnacentral:rRNA from 1 species